AACGUAGGAGACAAACGUUAUCCGGAGUUACUGGGCGUAAAGGGCGUGUAGGCGGACUGUUAAGUCUGGCGUGAAAGCUCCCGGCUAAACCGGGAGAGGUCGUUGGAUACUGGCAGACUAGAGGGUGGUAGAGGCGUGUGGAAUUCCGGGUGUAGUGGUGAAAUGCGUAGAGAUCCGGAGGAACACCAGUGGCGAAGGCGACACGCUGGGCCAUACCUGACGCUAAAGCGCGACAGCAUGGGGGGCAAACGGG
rnacentral:rRNA from 1 species